rnacentral:tRNA from 1 species
GGGUAUAUAGCUCAGUGGUAGAGUGUGUGCUUAGCAUGUACAGGUCCUGGGUUCGAUCUCCAGUACCUCCA